GCGCGCCUUUCUAUUUCCGCGCCAAAAGAAAAACAGCAAGAAAGAAAUUAAAGAUGGCGGUUCGUUCAGGUUAAGAAGAAGAAGAGAAGUUAGGCUCAAGAUGAAUGAGUUCCAGAGAAAAGGAAAACUGAUCUUUCUGGAAAUCCUGGAGCAUGACUGAUUUUAAAYGUACAGAAACCAUCAUGAUUUCAUUUGAACCAAUUACAGCGCGCGAGUUUAUUGCUCGUCCAAUAAAAUUGUCCUGAAACGACA